UGAACGCAAAUUGCACUCUCUGGUAUUCCGGAGAGUAUGCCUGUUUGAGGGUUGGUUUAAAUAAUAAUCGAUAUGUUGCUUUGUGACAUUUCGGAGUUGGGUCAUCUUAAUUUUACUUUAAGGGACCUAAAAUUGAUGUUCUUGCGCAUCUAGACAUGUAUAAUUUUUUUAUCUUGUUACCGGAUGCCAGAUAUUUAUUAGGUGUGACUAUGUUAAAUGGUUUAAUGCCUAUAAUUCUUGAUUUCAACCUCAAAUCAGGUAAGGAUACCCGCUGAACUUAA
rnacentral:misc_RNA from 1 species